rfam:Monodelphis domestica cont3.013963, whole genome shotgun sequence.
AUUCUGGUUUUGAUGGAAAGAGAAUAUUGCUACAGUCUGUCCAGGGGGUGAGAAUGCCUGAUUAAUUCUGGGCCAGAUCUCUAUCUUGAUUGUAGAGACCAGCUGGGGAU